AGGACGAACGCUGGCGGCGUGCUUAACACAUGCAAGUCGAGCGGAAAGGCCCUUCGGGGUACUCGAGCGGCGAACGGGUGAGUAACACGUGAGCAACCUGCCCCUGGCUCUGGGAUAGCUCCGGGAAACCGGGAUUAAUACCGGAUGUGACCUUCUCCUGCAUGGGAGUUGGUGGAAAGUUUUUCGGCUGGGGAUGGGCUCGCGGCCUAUCAGCUUGUUGGUGGGGUGAUGGCCUACCAAGGCGACGACGGGUAGCCGGCCUGAGAGGGCGGGCGGCCACACUGGGACUGAGACACGGCCCAGACUCCUACGGGAGGCAGCAGUGGGGAAUAUUGCGCAAUGGGCGGAAGCCUGACGCAGCGACGCCGCGUGGGGGAUGAAGGCCUUCGGGUUGUAAACCUCUUUCACCAGGGACGAAGCGGAAGUGACGGUACCUGGGGAAGAAGCGCCGGCUAACUACGUGCCAGCAGCCGC
rnacentral:rRNA from 1 species